AUCGAACGCUGGCGGCAUGCCUUACACAUGCAAGUCGAACGGUAACAGGUCUUCGGAUGCUGACGAGUGGCGAACGGGUGAGUAAUACAUCGGAACGUGCCUAGUAGUGGGGGAUAACUACUCGAAAGAGUGGCUAAUACCGCAUGAGAUCUACGGAUGAAAGCAGGGGAUCGCAAGACCUUGUGCCACUAGAGCGGCCGAUGGCAGAUUAGGUAAUUGGUGGGAUAAAAGCUUACCAAGCCGACGAUCUGUAGCUGGUCUGAGAGGACGAUCAGCCACACUGGGACUGAGACACGGCCCAGACUCCUACGGGAGGCAGCAGUGGGGAAUUUUGGACAAUGGGCGCAAGCCUGAUCCAGCAAUGCCGCGUGCAGGAUGAAGGCCUUCGGGUUGUAAACUGCUUUUGUACGGAACGAAAAGCCCCGGGUUAAUACCCUGGGGUCAUGACGGUACCGUAAGAAUAAGCACCGGCUAACUACGUGCCAGCCGCCGCAGUUA
rnacentral:rRNA from 1 species